rnacentral:piRNA from 1 species
UGCCCACCAUAUCUGCCCUGCUUGGU